rnacentral:rRNA from 1 species
AUACGGAGGAUGCAAGCGUUAUCCGGAUUUAUUGGGUUUAAAGGGUGCGUAGGCGGAUGAUUAAGCGGGAGGUGAAAUGCCGGCGCUCAACGUCGGAAGUGCCUCCCGAACUGGUGGACUUGAAUGACUCUGCCGUGGGAGGAAUGUGUAGUGUAGCGGUGAAAUGCUUAGAGAUUACACAGAACACCGAUUGCGAAGGCAUCUCACGAAGGGUUGAUUGACGCUGAGGCACGAAAGCGUGGGGAUCAAACAGGAUUAGAUACCCUGGUAGUCCACGCAGUAAACGAUGAUGGCUAACCGCUGGAUCCAUCGGUUCAGUGGCCAAGCGAAAGCGAUAAGCCAUCCACCUGGGGAGUACGACCGCAAGGUUGAAACUCAAAGGAAUUGACGGGG